rnacentral:lncRNA from 10 species
GCCGGGCGCAGUGGCAUGUGCCUGCAUUCCCAGCUACUCGGGAGGCUGAGGCAGGAGAAUCGCUUGAACCCGGGAGGCGGAGGUUGCAGUGAGCCGAGAUCACGCCACUGCACUCCAGCCUGGACAACAGAGUGAGACUCUGUCUCAAAAACAAAAAACAAAACCAAAAAAGCAAUUUUUGUUUUUGUUUGAAAUGGAGCCUUGCUUGCAGUGACAUGAUCUCGGCUCACUGCAACCUCCGCCUCCCGGGUUCAAGCGAUUCUCCUGC